GUGUGUGAUGCGACGGUGCAUUGCCUAUGACAUCGUGAGAAGUCACCUGAACCAUAUCAUUUAGAGGAAGGAGAAGUCAUAAUAAGGUUUUCAUAGGUGAAUCUAUGGAAGGAUCAUUG
rnacentral:rRNA from 1 species